rnacentral:misc_RNA from 1 species
GAUGAAGAACGUAGCGAAAUGCGAUAAGUAGUGUGAAUUGCAGAAUUCAGUGAAUCAUCGAAUCUUUGAACGCACAUUGCGCCCCUUGGUAUUCCAUGGGGCAUGCCUAUUCGAGCGUCAUUUGUACCUUCAAGCUUUGCUUGGUGUUGGGUGUUUGUCUCGCCUUUGCGUGUAGACUCGCCUUAAAAUAAUUGGCAGCCGGCGUAUUGAUUUCGGAGCGCAGUACAUCUCGCGCUUUGCACUCAUAACGACAGCGUCCAAAAGUACAUUUUACACUCUUGACCUCGGAUCAGGUAGGGAUACCCGCUGAACUUAAGCAUAUCAAUAAGCGGAGGA